AGAGUUUGUUCCUGGCUCAGGAUGAACGCUGGCGGCGUGCUUAACACAUGCAAGUCGAGCGAAGCACUUAAGUUUGAUUCUUCGGAUGAAGACUUUUGUGACUGAGCGGCGGACGGGUGAGUAACGCGUGGGCAACCUACCCUGUACAGGGGGAUAACAGUCAGAAAUGACUGCUAAUACCGCAUAAGACCACAGCACCGCAUGGUGCAGGGGUGAAAACUCCGGUGGUACAGGAUGGACCCGCGUCUGAUUAGCUGGUUGGUGAGGUAACGGCUCACCAAGGCGACGAUCAGUAGCCGGCUUGAGAGAGUGAACGGCCACAUUGGGACUGAGACACGGCCCAAACUCCUACGGGAGGCAGCAGUGGGGAAUAUUGCACAAUGGGGGAAACCCUGAUGCAGCGACGCCGCGUGAGUGAAGAAGUAUCUCGGUAUGUAAAGCUCUAUCAGCAGGGAAGAAAAUGACAGUACCUGACUAAGAAGCCCCGGCUAACUACGUGCCAGCAGCCGCGGUAAUACGUAGGGGGCAAGCGUUAUCCGGAAUUACUGGGUGUAAAGGGUGCGUAGGUGGUAUGGCAAGUCAGAAGUGAAAACCCAGGGCUUAACUCUGGGACUGCUUUUGAAACUGUCAGACUGGAGUGCAGGAGAGGUAAGCGGAAUUCCUAGUGUAGCGGUGAAAUGCGUAGAUAUUAGGAGGAACAUCAGUGGCGAAGGCGGCUUACUGGACUGAAACUGACACUGAGGCACGAAAGCGUGGGGAGCAANACAGGAUUAGAUACCCUGGUAGUCCACGCCGUAAACG
rnacentral:rRNA from 1 species